rnacentral:rRNA from 1 species
GUUCCAGACUCCUACGGGAGGCAGCAGUAGGGAAUCUUCCGCAAUGGACGAAAGUCUGACGGAGCAACGCCGCGUGAGUGAAGAAGGCUUUCGGUUUGUAAAACUCUGUUGUUAGGGAAGAAUGAUUGUAUAGUAACUAUAUACAGUAGAGACGGUACCUAACCAGAAAGCCACGGCUAACUACGUGCCAGCAGCCGCGGUAAUACGUAGGUGGCAAGCGUUGUCCGGAAUUAUUGGGCGUAAAGCGCGCGCAGGUGGUUUAAUAAGUCUGAUGUGAAAGCCCACGGCUCAACCGUGGAGGGUCAUUGGAAACUGUUAAACUUGAGUGCAGGAGAGAAAAGUGGAAUUCCUAGUGUAGCGGUGAAAUGCGUAGAGAUUAGGAGGAACACCAGUGGCGAAGGCGGCUUUUUGGCCUGUAACUGACACUGAGGCGCGAAAGCGUGGGGAGCAAACAGGAUUAGAUACCCGAGUAC